UACGGAGGGUGCAAGCGUUAUCCGGAUUCACUGGGUUUAAAGGGUGCGUAGGAGGGCAGGUAAGUCAGUGGUGAAAUCUCCGAGCUUAACUCGGAAACUGCCGUUGAUACUAUCUGUCUUGAAUACCGUGGAGGUGAGCGGAAUAUGUCAUGUAGCGGUGAAAUGCUUAGAUAUGACAUAGAACACCAAUUGCGAAGGCAGCUCACUACACGAGCAUUGACGCUGAGGAGCGAAAGCGUGGGGAGCAAACAGG
rnacentral:rRNA from 1 species